UAAUGUAUGGGGAUCUGCCCGAUAGAGGGGAAUAACUACUGGAAACGGUGGCUAAUACCGCAUAAUGUCUACGGACCAAAGCAGGGGCUCUUCGGACCUUGCACUAUCGGAUGACCCAUAUGGGAUUAGCUAGUAGGUGGGGUAAAGGCUCACCUAGGCGACGAUCUCUAGCUGGUCUGAGAGGAUGAUCAGCCACACUGGGACUGAGACACGGCCCAG
rnacentral:rRNA from 1 species